AGAUUGAACGCUGGCGGCAUGCCUAACACAUGCAAGUCGAACGGCAGCGCGGGGGCAACCCUGGCGGCGAGUGGCGGACGGGUGAGGAAUACAUAGGAAUCUACCCUGUCGUGGGGGAUAACGUAGGGAAACUUACGCUAAUACCGCAUACGACCGAGAGGUGAAAGCGGCGGACCGCAAGGCGUCGCGCGGCUGGAUGAGCCUAUGUCCGAUUAGCUAGUUGGCGGGGUAAGAGCCCACAAGGCGACGAUCGGUAGCUGGUCUGAGAGGAUGAUCAGCCACACUGGGACUGAGACACGGCCCAGACUCCUACGGGAGCAGCAGGUGGGGAAUAGUUGGACAAGUGGGCGCAAGCCUAGAUCCAGCAAUGCCGCGGUGGUGAAGAAGGCCGUUCGGCUGUAAACGCCCGUUUUAGGAACGGAAGAAAA
rnacentral:rRNA from 1 species